CAGCAGCCGCGGUAAUACGUAGGUCCCGAGCGUUGUCCGGAUUUAUUGGGCGUAAAGCGAGCGCAGGCGGUUAGAUAAGUCUGAAGUUAAAGGCUGUGGCUUAACCAUAGUACGCUUUGGAAACUGUUUAACUUGAGUGCAAGAGGGGAGAGUGGAAUUCCAUGUGUAGCGGUGAAAUGCGUAGAUAUAUGGAGGAACACCGGUGGCGAAAGCGGCUCUCUGGCUUGUAACUGACGCUGAGGCUCGAAAGCGUGGGGAGCAUACAGGAUUAGAUACCCCCGUAGUCCCUGUCUCUUAUACA
rnacentral:rRNA from 1 species